rnacentral:rRNA from 1 species
CGACGGGGGGCUGCAGUGGGGAAUUUUGCGCAAUGGGCGAAAGCCUGACGCAGCAACGCCGCGUGCGGGAUGAAGGCCUUCGGGUCGUAAACCGCUUUCAGCAGGGAAGAAGUUGACUGUACCUGCAGAAGAAGCUCCGGCUAACUACGUGCCAGCAGCCGCGGUAAUACGUAGGGAGCGAGCGUUAUCCGGAUUUAUUGGGCGGUAAAGCGCGCGUAGGCGGCUUGCCAAGCGGGAUCUCAAAACCGAGGGCUCAACCCCCGGACGGAUCCCGAACUGGCAGGCUCGAGUUCGGUAGGGGAAGAUGGAAUUCCCAGUGUAGCGGUGAAAUGCGCAGAUAUUGGGAAGAACACCGAUGGCGAAGGCAGUCUUCUGGGCCGCAACUGACGCUGAGGUGCGAAAGCUAGGGGAGCGAACAGGAUUAGAUACCCCGGUAGUC